rnacentral:rRNA from 1 species
UUGACCUCAAAUCAGGUAGGACUACCCGCUGAACUUAAGCAUAUCAAUAAGCGGAGGAAAAGAAACUAACAAGGAUUCCCCUAGUAACUGCGAGUGAAGCGGGAAAAGCUCAAAUUUAAAAUCUGAGGGUCUUACGGCCUUCCGAGUUGUAAUCUAGAGAAGUGCUAUCCGCGCUGGACCGUGUACAAGUCUCCUGGAACGCCAAGCUUUUGUGAUGCGCUCUCA